GAUGAACGCUGGCGGUGUGCCUAAUACAUGCAAGUCGAGCGAACAGACGAGGAGCUUACUCCUCUGACGUUAGCGGCGGACGGGUGAGUAACACGUGGAUAUCCUACCUAUAAGACUGGGAUAACUUCGGGAAACCGGAGCUAAUACCGGAUAACAUGUUGAACCGCAUGGUUCAACAGUGAAAGACGGUCUUGCUGUCACUUAUAGAUGGAUCCGCGUCGCAUUAGCUAGUUGGUAAGGUAACGGCUUACCAAGGCAACGAUGCGUAGCCGACCUGAGAGGGUGAUCGGCCACACUGGAACUGAGACACGGUCCAGACUCCUACGGGAGGCAGCAGUAGGGAAUCUUCCGCAAUGGGCGAAAGCCUGACGGAGCAACGCCGCGUGAGUGAAGAAGGUCUUCGGAUCGUAAAACUCUGUUAUUAGGGAAGAACAAAUGUGUAAGUAACUAUGCACGUCUUGACGGUACCUAAUCAGAAAGCCACGGCUAACUACGUG
rnacentral:rRNA from 1 species